ensembl:miRNA
GAAGCCUCUCUCCAGCCAGAUACAGAGCUUAGCUGAUUGGUGAACAGUGAUUGAUUUCCUCUUUGUUCACAGUGGCUAAGUUCUGCACCUGAGGAGAGCUUGA